AACGAACGCUGGCGGCAGGCCUAACACAUGCAAGUCGAGCGGACCCUUCGGGGUUAGCGGCGGACGGGUGAGUAACGCGUGGGAAUAUGCCCUUCUCUACGGAAUAGUCCUGGGAAACUGGGGGUAAUACCGUAUACGCCCUUUGGGGGAAAGAUUUAUCGGGGAAGGAUUAGCCCGCGUUGGAUUAGGUAGUUGGUGGGGUAAUGGCCUACCAAGCCGACGAUCCAUAGCUGGUUUGAGAGGAUGAUCAGCCACACUGGGACUGAGACACGGCCCAGACUCCUACGGGAGGCAGCAGUGGGGAAUCUUAGACAAUGGGGGCAACCCUGAUCUAGCCAUGCCGCGUGAGUGAUGAAGGCCUUAGGGUUGUAAAGCUCUUUCAGCUGGGAAGAUAAUGACGGUACCAGCAGAAGAAGCGCCGGCUAACUCCGUG
rnacentral:rRNA from 1 species